GGUUUACCGGACUUGCCCCGCACGGAGCGCGCUGCGAAUCCGGGAAGAUGCCGCCACCCAACUGUCGCCGCCUCCUUGCUCGGCUUCUUGCCAUCCUCACGUUACUGCUGUUAAUCGUCGGUGGCCAUGCAGGUCGUGGUGGAAGGUUUGGUCCACCUGCACACUGCGAUACUCGUCAGAACCCAGCCGGCUGCUCAGGUUUGCCCUCUCCGAACUGUCCAGGAUGUGGAUAGCAGCAGGGCUCAGUCCCAAGCAUAUGUUAUGACUUAUGUCGUCGACGAUGGUCUUUUAGCAUGUCUUGCGGUAUUAUAUUUCUCGUGUAAUAAGAGAGAUUUAUCAAGGUCACAAUCAUUUA